GGCGGCGUGCUUAACACAUGCAAGUCGAGCGGAAAGGCCCUUCGGGGUACUCGAGCGGCGAACGGGUGAGUAACACGUGAGCAACCUGCCCUAGGCUUUGGGAUAACCCUCGGAAACGGGGGCUAAUACCGAAUACGACCUUUGAUCGCAUGAUGGGUGGUGGAAAGUUUUUCGGCCUGGGAUGGGCUCGCGGCCUAUCAGCUUGUUGGUGGGGUGAUGGCCUACCAAGGCGACGACGGGUAGCCGGCCUGAGAGGGCGACCGGCCACACUGGGACUGAGACACGGCCCAGACUCCUACGGGAGGCAGCAGUGGGGAAUAUUGCACAAUGGGCGGAAGCCUGAUGCAGCGACGCCGCGUGAGGGAUGACGGCCUUCGGGUUGUAAACCUCUUUCAGCAGGGACGAAGCGUAAGUGACGGUACCUGCAGAAGAAGCGCCGGCCAACUACGUGCCAGCAGCCGCGGUAAGACGUAGGGCGCGAGCGUUGUCCGGAUUUAUUGGGCGUAAAGAGCUCGUAGGCGGCUUGUCGCGUCGACUGUGAAAACCCGCAGCUCAACUGCGGGCCUGCAGUCGAUACGGGCAGGCUAGAGUUCGGUAGGGGAGACUGGAAUUCCUGGUGUAGCGGUGAAAUGCGCAGAUAUCAGGAGGAACACCGGUGGCGAAGGCGGGUCUCUGGGCCGAUACUGACGCUGAGGAGCGAAAGCGUGGGGAGCGAACAGGAUUAGAUACCCUGGUAGUCCACGCUGUAAACGUUGGGCGCUAGGUGUGGGGGGCCUCUCCGGUUCCCUGUGCCGCAGCUAACGCAUUAAGCGCCCCGCCUGGGGAGUACGGCCGC
rnacentral:rRNA from 1 species